rnacentral:rRNA from 1 species
CACGUAGGCACCAAGCGUUGUCCGGAUUUAUUGGGCGUAAAGAGCUCGUAGGCGGUUCGGUAAGUCGGGUGUGAAACUCUGGGCUACAACCCAGAGCCGCCACCCGAUACUGCUGUGACUCGAGUGCGGUAGGGGAGCGGGGAAUUCCUGGUGUAGCGGUGAAAUGCGCAGAUAAUCAGGAGGAACACCAGUGGCGAAGGCGCCGCUCUGGGCCGUGACUGACGCUGAGGAGCGAAAGCGUGGGUAGGCAAACAGG